GAUGAACGCUGACAGAAUGCUUAACACAUGCAAGUCCACUUGAAUUUGGGUUUUUAACUUAGGUUUGGGUGGCGGACGGGUGAGUAACGCGUAAAGAACUUGCCUCACAGCUAGGGACAACAUUUGGAAACGAAUGCUAAUACCUAAUAUUAUGAUAAUAGGGCAUCCUAUAAUUAUGAAAGCUAUAAGCGCUGUGAGAGAGCUUUGCGUCCCAUUAGCUAGUUGGAGAGGUAACGGCUCACCAAGGCGAUGAUGGGUAGCCGGCCUGAGAGGGUGAUCGGCCACAAGGGGACUGAGACACGGCCCGUACGCCUACGGGAGGCAGCAGUGGGGAAUAGUGGACAAUGGACCGAGAGUCUGAUCCAGCAAUUCGGUGUGCACGAUGAAGUUUUUCGGAAUGUAAAGUGCUUUCAGUUGGGAAGAAACAAAUGACGGUACCAACAGAAGAAGUGACGGCUAAAUACGUG
rnacentral:rRNA from 1 species